GCAUAUCAAUAAGCGGAGGAAAAGAAACCAACAGGGAUUGCCCUAGUAACGGCGAGUGAAGCGGCAACAGCUCAAAUUUGAAAUCUGGCCCUCGGGUCCGAGUUGUAAUUUGUAGAGGAUGCUUUUGGUGAGGUACCUUCCGAGUUCCCUGGAACGGGACGCCAUAGAGGGUGAGAGCCCCGUCUGGUUGGAUACCGAUCCUCUGUAAAGCUCCUUCGACGAGUCGAGUAGUUUGGGAAUGCUGCUCUAAAUGGGAGGUAUAUGUCUUCUAAAGCUAAAUAUUGGCCAGAGACCGAUAGCGCACAAGUAGAGUGAUCGAAAGAUGAAAAGCACUUUGAAAAGAGAGUUAAAAAGUACGUGAAAUUGUUGAAAGGGAAGCGCUCAUGACCAGACUUGGGCUUGGUUGAUCAUCCAGGGUUCUCCCUGGUGCACUCUUCCAGCUCAGGCCAGCAUCAGUUCGCCGCGGGGGAUAAAGGCUUUGGGAAUGUGGCUCCCCCGGGAGUGUUAUAGCCCACUGCGUAAUACCCUGUAGUGGACUGAGGUUCGCGCAUCUGCAAGGAUGCUGGCGUAAUGGUCAUCAGCGACCCGUCUUGAAACACGGACCAAGGAGUCGUCUUCGUAUGCGAGUGUUCGGGUGUUAAACCCCUACGCGUAAUGAAAGUGAACGCAGGUGAGAGCUUCGGCGCAUCAUCGACCGAUCCUGAUGUUCUCGGAUGGAUUUGAGUAAGAGCAUACGGGGCCGGACCCGAAAGAAGGUGAACUAUGCCUGUAUAGGGUGAAGCCAGAGGAAACUCUGGUGGAGGCUCGCAGCGGUUCUGACGUGCAAAUCGAUCGUCAAAUAUGGGCAUGGGGGCGAAAGACUAAUCGAACCUUCUAGUAGCUGGUUUCCGCCGA
rnacentral:rRNA from 1 species